UACGAGUGCCUCGAGCGUUAUCCGGAAUCAUUGGGCGUAAAGGGUGCGUAGGCGGCCCGGAAAGUUGUGUGUGAAAGCCCUCGGCUCAACCGAGGAAUAGCGCGCAAAACUACCGGGCUUGAGGGAGACAGAGGUAAGCGGAACUUAGGGUGGAGCGGUGAAAUGCGUUGAUAUCCUAAGGAACACCAGGAGCGAAAGCGGCUUACUGGGUCUCUUCUGACGCUGAGGCACGAAAGCUAGGGGAGCGAACGGG
rnacentral:rRNA from 1 species